rnacentral:rRNA from 1 species
CCUACGGGAGGCAGCAGUGAGGAAUAUUGGUCAAUGGCCGUAAGGCUGAACCAGCCAAGUCGCGUGAAGGAAGAAGGAUCUAUGGUUUGUAAACUUCUUUUAUAGGGGAAUAAAGGUAUCCACGUGUGGAUAUUUGCAUGUACCCUAUGAAUAAGCAUCGGCUAACUCCGUGCCAGCAGCCGCGGUAAUACGGAGGAUGCGAGCGUUAGCCGGAUUUAUUGGGUUUAAAGGGUGCGUAGGUUGUUUUUUAAGUCAGCGGUGAAAGUUUGUGGCUCAACCAUAAAAUUGCCGUUGAAACUGGAAGACUUGAGUGUGUUUGAGGUAGGCGGAAUUCGUGGUGUAGCGGUGACAUGCUUAGAUAUCACGAAGAACCCCGAUUGCGAAGGCAGCUUACUAAACUGUGACUGACAUUGAUGCUCGAAAGUGUGGGUAUCAAACAGGAUUAGAUACCCGGGUAGUC